GUCUAUGGCCAUACCACCCUAAGCGCACCCGAUCUCGUCUGAUCUCGGAAGCUAAGCAGGAUCGGGCCUGGUUAGUACUUGGAUGGAAGACUGUAAUCUGGGGAUGAGUCACCUUAUAGC
rnacentral:rRNA from 1 species